UACAGAGGUGGCGAGCGUUACUCGGAUUUAUUGGGUGUAAAGGGCAAGUAGGCGUCUCAACAAGUUAGAAGUGAAAUCCUGCAGCUCAACUGCAGAGCUGCUUUUAAAACUGUUGGGAUUGAGACUGGAAGAGGAAAGCGGAAUUCUCGGUGUAAGAGUGAAAUCUGUAGAUAUCGAGAGGAACACCAGUGGCGAAGGCGGCUUUCUGGUCCAGUACUGACGCUGAAUUGCGAAAGCUAGGGGAGCAAACAGG
rnacentral:rRNA from 1 species